rnacentral:rRNA from 1 species
CACGUAGUUAGCCGGGGCUUCUUGGUCGGGUACCGUCCGCGGCUCUCGCGAACCGUGUUUCUUCCCCGCUGACAGAGCUUUACGCGCCGAAACGCUUCUUCACUCACGCGGCGUCGCUGCAUCAGGGUUUCCCCCAUUGUGCAAUAUUCCCCACUGCUGCCUCCCGUAGGAGUUUGGGCCGUGUCUCAGUCCCAAUGUGGCCGUCCGCCCUCUCAGGCCGGCUACUGAUCGUCGCCUUGGUGGGCCGUUACCCCGCCAACCAGCUAAUCAGACGCGGGUCCAUCCCGUACCACCGGAGUUUUCAAGAAAGGAACAUGCGUCCCCUUCUGUUAUGCGGUAUUAGCACCUGUUUCCAGGUGUUAUCCCCCGGUACGGGGCAGGUUCCCCACGCGUUACUCACCCGUCCGCCACUAAGGCCCGCGCCUUCCGGGUCUGGUAAACCAUCCCCUUCCGCCGCUGGCCCCCGUUCGACUUGCAUGUGUUAGGCACGCCGCCAGCGUUCAUCCUGAGCCAGGAUCAAACUCU